AGCGAACGCUGGCGGCAGGCUUAACACAUGCAAGUCGAACGCCCCGCAAGGGGAGUGGCAGACGGGUGAGUAACACGUGGGAAGGUACCCUUUGGUUCGGAAUAACUUGGAGAAACUCAAGCUGAUACCGGAUAAGCCCUUAUGGGGAAAGGUUUACUGCCGAAGGAUCGGCCCGCGUCUGAUUAGCUAGUUGGUGAGGUAAUGGCUCACCAAGGCGACGAUCAGUAGCUGGUCUGAGAGGAUGAUCAGCCACACUGGGACUGAGACACGGCCCAGACUCCUACGGGAGGCAGCAGUGGGGAAUAUUGGACAAUGGGGGCAACCCUGAUCCAGCCAUGCCGCGUGAGUGAUGAAGGCCUUAGGGUUGUAAAGCUCUUUUACCCGGGACGAUAAUGACUGUACCGGGAGAAUAAGCCCCGGCUAACUUCGUGCCAGCAGCCGCCGUAA
rnacentral:rRNA from 1 species